GGAGGGAUGUCCGAGUGGUCGAAGGAGGCGGUCUUGAAAACCGUUGUCCCGAAAGGGACCGUGGGUUCGAAUCCUACUCCCUCCG
rnacentral:tRNA from 1 species